rnacentral:rRNA from 1 species
GGCGGGCUACCAUGCAAGUCGAGCGGAAACGGCAGUAUUGAAGCUUCGGUGGAUUUACUGGACGUCGAGCGGCGGACGGGUGAGUAACGGCUGGGAACCUGCCCUGACGAGGGGGAUAACCGUUGGAAACGACGGCUAAUACCGCAUAAUGUCUACGGACCAAAGGUGGCCUCUACAUGUAAGCUAUCGCGUUGGGAUGGGCCCAGUUAGGAUUAGCUAGUUGGUAAGGUAACGGCUUACCAAGGCGACGAUCCUUAGCUGGUUUGAGAGGAUGAUCAGCCACACUGGGACUGAGACACGGCCCAGACUCCUACGGGAGGCAGCAGUGGGGAAUAUUGCACAAUGGGGGAGACCCUGAUGCAGCCAUGCCGCGUGUGUGAAGAAGGCCUUCGGGUUGUAAAGCACUUUCAGCAGUGAGGAAGGUAGUGUACUUAAUACGUGCAUUGCUUGACGUUAGCUGCAGAAGAAGCACCGGCUAACUCCGUGCCAGCAGCCGCGGUAAUACGGAGGGUGCGAGCGUUAAUCGGAAUUACUGGGCGUAAAGCGCAUGCAGGCGGUUUGUUAAGUCAGAUGUGAAAGCCCGGGGCUCAACCUCGGAACCGCAUUUGAAACUGGCAGGCUAGAGUCUUGUAGAGGGGGGUAGAAUUUCAGGUGUAGCGGUGAAAUGCGUAGAGAUCUGAAGGAAUACCAGUGGCGAAGGCGGCCCCCUGGACAAAGACUGACGCUCAGAUGCGAAAGCGUGGGUAGCAAACAGGAUUAGAUACCCUGGUAGUCCACGCCGUAAACGAUGUCUACUUGGA